AGACCAAAGAGGGGGACCUUCGGGCCUCUUGCCAUCAGAUGUGCCCAGAUGGGAUUAGCUAGUAGGUGGGGUAACGGCUCACCUAGGCGACGAUCCCUAGCUGGUCUGAGAGGAUGACCAGCCACACUGGAACUGAGACACGGUCCAGACUCCUACGGGAGGCAGCAGUGGGGAAUAUUGCACAAUGGGCGCAAGCCUGAUGCAGCCAUGCCGCGUGUAUGAAGAAGGCCUUCGGGUUGUAAAGUACUUUCAGCGGGGAGGAAGGUGUUGUGGUUAAUAACCGCAGCAAUUGACGUUACCCGCAGAAGAAGCACCGGCUAACUCCGUGCCAGCAGCCGCGGUAAUACGGAGGGUGCAAGCGUUAAUCGGAAUUACUGGGCGUAAA
rnacentral:rRNA from 1 species